rnacentral:rRNA from 1 species
UGAUAUAUUGUUAUCACCAGUAGUGUAUAACUGCUAGCCUUUUCCUUGUUUACUCGUGUUUUUCCAAUAUCGUGACUAUUUUCGGCUAUCUCAAAGUAAUUUACAGGCUAAUCCGGCAAAAACGCCGCUAAGCAAAUAGUUAGGCCAGCGCGCGGUUGUUCACUUGCGCUAUCAGAUGAGCCUAGGUCGGAUUAGCUAGUUGGUGGGGUAAUGGCUCACCAAGGCCACGAUCCCUAACUGGUCUGAGAGGAUGAUCAUUCACACUGGAACUGAAACACGGUCCAGACUCCUACUGGAGGCAGCAGUGGGGAAUAUUGAACAAUGGGCGAAAGCCUGAUCCAGCCAUGCCCCGUGUGUGAAGAAGGUCUUCGGAUUGUAAAGCACUUUAACUUGGGAGGAAGGGCAAUAAGCGAAUACCUUGCUGUUUUGACGUUACCGACAGAAUAAGCACCGGCUAACUCUGUGCCAGCAGCCGCGGUAAUACAGAGGGUGCAGGCGUUAAUCGGAAUUACUGGGCGUAAAGCGCGCGUAGGUGGUUUGUUAAUUUGAAUGUGAAAGCCCCGGGCUCAACCUGGGAACUGCAUCUGAAACUGGCAAGCUAGAGUACGGUACAGGGUGGUGGAAUUUCCUGUGUAGGGUGAAAUGCAUAUAUAUAGGAAGGAACACCAGUGGCGAAGGCGACCACCUGGACUGAUACUGACACUGACGUGCGAAAGCGUGAGGAGCAAACACGAUUAGAUACCCUGGUAGUCCACGCCGUAAACGAUGUCACUAGCCGUUGGAAUCCUUGACAUUUUAGUGUCGCAGCUAACGCAUUAAGUUGACCGCCUGGGAGUACGGCCGCAAGGUUAAACUCAAAUGAAUUGACGUGGCCCGCACAAGCGGUGGAGCAUGUGGAUGUAGUUCUAAUGCACGCGAACGACCCAUUACCAUGUACUUGAUCAUGCACAUGCACCUAUACAUUAGAUGGAUUGUGUCUUCGGCGUACUCUGACUACAGAUGCUGCAUGGGCUGUCGUCAGCUCGUGCUC